UACGGAGGGUGCGAGCGUUGUCCGGAAUCAUUGGGCGUAAAGGGCGCGUAGGGGGCCCGGCAAGCGUGCGGUGAAAGUCGGGGGCUCAACCCCCGAUCGGCCGUGCGAACUGCGGGGCUGGAGCACUGUAGAGGCAGGCGGAAUUCCGGGUGUAGCGGUGGAAUGCGUAGAGAUCCGGAAGAACACCGGUGGCGAAGGCGGCCUGCUGGGCAGUUUUGCUGACACUGAGGCGCGACAGCGUGGGGAGCAAACAGG
rnacentral:rRNA from 1 species